rnacentral:tRNA from 1 species
GCCGGGGUAGCUCAGCUGGUCAGAGCGCGAGACUCAUAAUCUCGAGGCCGCGGGUUCAAUUCCCGCCCCCGGCA